UACGGAGGGUGCAAGCGUUAUCCGGAAUCACUGGGUUUAAAGGGUGCGUAGGCGGCGCAAUAAGUCAGAGGUGAAAGCCUGCAGCUCAACUGUAGAAUUGCCUUUGAUACUGCUGCGCUUGAAUCAGGUUGAGGUUGGCGGAAUGUGGCAUGUAGCGGUGAAAUGCAUAGAUAUGCCAGAGAACACCAAUUGCGAAGGCAGCUGACUGGACCUGUAUUGACGCUGAGGCACGAAAGAGUGGGGAGCAAACAGG
rnacentral:rRNA from 1 species